rnacentral:rRNA from 2 species
AUUGAACGCUGGCGGAAUGCUUUACACAUGCAAGUCGAACGGCAGCACGGGGGCAACCCUGGUGGCGAGUGGCGAACGGGUGAGUAAUGCAUCGGAACGUACCCAAUCGUGGGGGAUAACUGGCCGAAAGGUCAGCUAAUACCGCAUACGUCCUGAGGGAGAAAGCAGGGGAUCGCAAGACCUUGCGCGAUUGGAGCGGCCGAUGUCUGAUUAGCUAGUUGGUGGGGUAAGAGCCUACCAAGGCGACGAUCAGUAGCUGGUCUGAGAGGAUGAUCAGCCACACUGGGACUGAGACACGGCCCAGACUCCUACGGGAGGCAGCAGUGGGGAAUUUUGGACAAUGGGCGCAAGCCUGAUCCAGCCAUUCCGCGUGAGUGAAGAAGGCCUUCGGGUUGUAAAGCUCUUUCGGCAGGAAAGAAACGGUCUGUGCUAAUACCACGGGCUAAUGACGGUACCUGCAGAAGAAGCACCGGCUAACUACGUG